AGUGAACGCUGGCGGUAGGCCUAACACAUGCAAGUCGAACGGCAGCACAGUAAGAGCUUGCUCUUACGGGUGGCGAGUGGCGGACGGGUGAGGAAUACAUCGGAAUCUACUUUUUCGUGGGGGAUAACGUAGGGAAACUUACGCUAAUACCGCAUACGACCUACGGGUGAAAGCAGGGGAUCUUCGGACCUUGCGCGAUUGAAUGAGCCGAUGUCGGAUUAGCUAGUUGGCGGGGUAAAGGCCCACCAAGGCGACGAUCCGUAGCUGGUCUGAGAGGAUGAUUCGCCCACCUGGAAAUGAGACACGGUCCAGACUCCUAAGGGAGGCCGCAGUGGGGAAUAUUGGAAAAUGGGCCCCAGCCUGAUCCAGCCCUACCGUGUGGGUGAAGAAGGCCUUCCGGUUGUAAAGGCCUUUUGUUGGGAAAGAAAUCCAGCCGGCUAAUACCUGGUUGGGAUGACGGUACCCAAAGAAUAAGCACCGGCUAACUUCGUG
rnacentral:rRNA from 1 species